UGAACAGAGCGUAAUUUUCAAUCAAAAACAUUUAUACCAUCGAUUAUACGAACUGCAACAAUUGCGUUUCUCAGAUUUUGUUCUUUUACAGGAGUUUUACAAUACUUAUCUCAACUCUGUUGACUGUUGUUAUUAUUAACUAAAAUACGUGAUAUCGGUUCGAGGGUUUGAUAUUCGGUGAUAAGAUGAUAGUUUCCACGUUUAUCAGUGUAACCACGAGUCAAACGAAAAAAACAAGGUGUCCUAGAAUAAUAUAGAUGGAUGCAGCCAUUGUUAUAGGUAAUUUAAUGUAUAUCUGUAAGCAACGAUUAACCGUCGCUAAAGAAAAAACGAUCCCGAAUGGAGUUUGGUUUA